UUUCCAUUAUUUAAGAAAUAAUUAAAUAGAAUUAAAAAACUAAAAAAAAAUUUGUUUUUUGAAAAACUUACAGCUUGGAUAAGUUUAUCAUUCGAACUAAGAAGAAUGAUUCUCAUAAUGCCAAUGUGCCCAUUUCAUCUGCCGUACAAGUAUCAUCGCUUUCCGAUUAUAAGUUAAAGUUACAAACAUACAGUUCAGAACUUGAUAAUGAUAAUGAUGGGGAUCAACAAAAAAGAAUUCCCUAUUUAUCGUCAUCCAAUUCUAAUUCAAAAGAUGGUUCAAAUGGAAAAAAGGCGGAAAAAAAUAUUCGUCGAUAUCUGUCCAGUUGGGAAGACGAGUACAAGUGGAUUAAGUAUGACACUGUUAAAGAAUAAGCCUUUUGUUUUUCGUAUGUUAAAGCUACUAAAAUGAAGUUUCAACUGCCUACUGAAUCAAGAGAACGAAAAUCCACUCUAGUAUUUGUUAUUAAUGGAUUUAAUAAUUAAAAGAAAGCUCAUGAGAAGUUUCGUCGUCAUGAAGCUAGCAAUUUUCACCGAGCCACUAACAAAACAAUUUUGACAAGCACUUCAGAUUCUACAUUUUCCAGUAAACUUUCUACUCAACAUCUACAAGAUAUGAAGGACGCAAGAAAAGCUCUCGACGAUAUAGUUUCUAGUCUGAUUUUUCUCGGCUGUCAAGGCUUCAAAUCUAUUCCAGCUCUUAGAACUGAAGUCUAUGGAUGUACCGGUUUUGAAAAAAUGGAUGAAUUGACCAGAAAAGUACAAGUGGAUAUCUUCAGAUGUCACAAAUGAAAUUUUGUUGCAUAUUUUUUUAGUUAUCAAACAUGAAUUAUCAAACACAAUAAAAAAAAGAGAUUUAUUUGGAUUCAUGAUGAAUGAAUCGUCUGAUAACACAGGAAAAAAGCAGGUAUCGAUAUCACUCCGUACUAUAGACGAUGAGUUCCAAAUUAAUGAGGGUUUUUGUGGAGACAGCCACAACUAAAAGCAAGAAUCUGUUUUUGAUUAUGAAAAAAGUCUUUCUUUGUUUCAACUUAAGGCAUGAGAACUGUCGGCGACAAUGCUCGAUGGAGCUGCUGCCAUGUCUUCUGAAAUAGCUGGCUUGCAAAAACUUGUUCUUUAACAAGAAAGCAGAGCCCUUUAUGUUCAUUGCGGAGCUCACAAUCUAAAUUUGGUCGUACAAGAUGAAAUAAAAAACAUACCUGAUAUAGAAAAUAUCAUGUCGCUUGUUCAAAAGUUCAUCGCUUUUACCAGAGGCUCACCAAAGAGGCUUGCUUGGUUUUAAAGCCUAAAAGACCAAAAUGAAAGCGAAGAUGGACACCAAAAGAGAACAUCAUUUAGACCUUUUUGCCCAACCAGAUAAAUAAUGCGCAAGCCAUCUCUAGUAUCUAUUACUAUAAAUUCCCUAAAGUUGAAUGCUUGAAUCUUCUAGGAUAGUAUCUAUCCUAGAAGAUACAAGCAUUCAACUUUAGGGAAGCCAUCAACUUUAGUAAGGCUGAAUCCAUCAUUCAGACCUGAAACAAAUUUUGAGAACUUUCCGUACAGAGUCACGUUUCAAAACACUUUUCGAUGCGGCAAUUGAAUCUGCUAAAACGACGAUUUAGACGAACCAGCUCUGCCCAGGAAGAGGAAAGAACCUGUAAGAUUUGAAGUCGGCUUCAGAGAUACUUAUUACCAGCCAAAGGAUCCAAAUGAGAUCCUCAAGCAGUUAUACUUUACCAGUUUAGAUGCAAUUAAAAACCAGUUUAGAUGCAGUUAGUUGGCCUCACCGAUAGAUUUGAAUCAACUGAAACCACUCGUCAUUUAAGAGUUUGUGAUUGGAUCAAAUAACACUGAAUGCAGUAUCGACUACAUAAAAACCUUCUACAAGGACAAUUUUCCUAAUUAUCAAAGACUGCAGCUUCACCGGGACCAUUUCAUUUACAAUGCUAAGAGAAAAAAAGUUCAAUUAGAAGAUUUUCAAUCAGCUCUAGAUUUUAUCCGCGCUAAAGAACAAAUUGGAUUGAGAAUCAUUGCCUUGAAAAUUGUCCGUUUUAUUAAAAUAAUUCUGGUCCAGCCAGUGUCAACUUGUACAGCAGAACGAUCCUUUAGUAGCCUGCGUAACUUUUCUUCGAUCGACCAUGAGCCAGGAACGGCUGAACGCUGUUUCUCUAAUAAAUAAGUUAGGUAACCAAAAUCAAAAGUUGUUUUCUUUUAUUUCAAUAUAAAAAAUAUCAAACACUUGAAAGUCGACAUACAUCGCUCAAAAAAAUCAAACUUUAAACUUUUUGACCCCCUUGAAAAUUUGAGUACUCU
rnacentral:lncRNA from 1 species